UACAGGGGGUGCAAGCGUUGUUCGGAAUUACUGGGCGUAAAGGGCGUGUAGGCGGUUUAGCAAGUCAGAUGUGAAAUCCCGGGGCUCAACUCCGGAAGUGCAUUUGAAACUGCUAGGCUAGAGUACUGUAGAGGUUGGCGGAAUACCCAGUGGAGAGGUGAAAUUCGUAGAUAUUGGGUGGAACACCGGUGGCGAAGGCGGCCAACUGGGCAGUAACUGACGCUGAGGCGCGAGAGCGUGGGGAGCAAACAGG
rnacentral:rRNA from 1 species